rnacentral:lncRNA from 1 species
AGAUUUUAGCCACCGGUCUUAUCUCUCUGAGGUAGCAAGAGAGCAGGUUGAAGAUACAAGUCUUAUCUUCCUGAGGUAGCAAGGAAGCAGACUAAAAAUUACAAAUCUUAUCUCCAUGUAUUGGCUAUAGAAUAGAUCGAAGAUGGCGAAUCUUAUCUCUAUGUAUCGGCUAUGGAGCAGAUUUUAGCUAUUGGCUUUGUCCCCUUGAAGUUGUAGUGGAGUAGGUUGAAGUCACAAACCUUAUCUUCCUGAAGUUGCUAUAAGACUACUUGAAGAAGAAGAGCACUAAAGAAGUCAAAGAUUCGGCAAGACCGGGCAAAAUUGGUCCUUUUAGGGUCUUUGUUACGUUCUCGUUACACAACAACGGGAAAAGAGGGGCAGCUGUAAGACCCAAUUUUGGCCCAGGCCCAUGCACAUACAAAAACCAAAUAAUAAAACAAAAUGUUAAAUGUCCAUUUACAAAUAAUAAACCCAAAAAGAAAACACAGCUCAAUUACAUUAAAAUAGUCUGGUGACAAAAGGCCCAAAUUCAGAAACCCUAGGUUCCUUUCUUCCCCUUGCGCCGCAGCCCCCCACGUUUAACGCCCCACGCACGUCGGCACGCCCACACACAACCCCUAGCUCGCACGUCCAUGACCCACGAUCGUGCACUCCCCCACGAUACCUGCAAUUUGAGCAAAGAAAUAGGCAGAAACUGUUUUUAUAUUUGGCUAUAAAGUUUUUGAAUUUCGAUUGUAAAAGGGUUGGGUUUUUUUUUUACCUUUUUUUGGAGAGAAUAUAGAUUCAAAAUAAAAAGCAAGCAGAGAUAUAUAAUAACAACAUUUGUUAAAGGUGAUUCUUUUAGUUUUUUUCCUUUUUCAGUUUUGUUAUUUUUCUUGCUUUAUUUUUUUUCUUUUGUGUGUAAAAAAUGAUAUAAGAGAAAGAGGGAAACUUACCGGAGUUACGUCGCACUCGCACCACUGGAAGGCCUUGCUCUGGUUGUCGCAAUCAAUCACGGAGGCGAUUGAAGGCUUGGUGUUGGCCUUAUUUGCGGCUAGAAGAAAGAGGAAAGUGGGGGAGAAGAAAGAGUUUAGGGUUUUUUUUAAAAAGAAAUCAAAGUUAAAA